CAAUCUAUAGCUUCCAUGAAUUAUUUCGAUUCUAAUAGGACAAAUAUGGUCAUUAAAAAAACUGAAGCUAGGGUGGGUAUGCUGUGUGUGUGGCUGUUCUUUUUAAUCCCUGUUAGAUAAAGCUCAAAUACUUGUAUAAAUAUGUAGCUUGCGUAGAUUAUUUCGUGAAUAACUGCUAGAAAUGUUUUUUUUUUAUUCUUUAAAUUCUCAAACCCAACAAUUGCCAUUUUUAAUUUACAUAUUUUCUCAUAAGCUUCCGUCAAAUCCAAAGUUGACAUUUUGUAACUAAGGAGCCAAGCCAUGCUGACUUGCUGAAAUGAGUAAAUAUGCGAAUAAUGCAAUAGAAUAGAAAAUAAAACAAAACCUAUGAACCUGAAAAAUCAGUUUUAAUACAAUAUCAUACGAAUUCCGAUGGUUCACGUAACAGAAAACUUUCAACUUUAGCGGUUUCAUUUGUAUGACGUCAUGUUUUGAAAUGACUUAAAUGCGCCAAAAAGAUUAAAAGACUUUCGAGCUCUUGUGCAUUACUUCUUUUUAUUAUGCAUACGAAUUUGAAUAAAAGUUAUUUCGUCUUUUUUUAAUUGCACUUUUUAAAACAAUAAAAUCGGCAAAGGGUCUGCAAAUAGGUUCCAAUACAUGUAUAUUUACCUGGGUAGUAUAUUGUAAAAGCCAUUAUGUGUAUAUCUAUGAGUCUGCGCUAAGUAUAUUUUAUCGAGAAUUUUAUCACAGUGUUGUUUACAAAGCUAAAGAAGCACGUCAUAUUAGAAUUUUGUAUUAAGUAUAUGAUCAAGUUCAUUUAUGGAAAAAUAUAAUGAAAUCCUAUAUUGGAAAAAAAAAAAUGAUUUAUAUCCGCGAGCCCCCCUAAGUUAUUGGGAUGGCGCUCAGGAUUAACAAACUAUAAUGGGAAGGCACUUUAAUUACAGGAAAAAGAUUAUGAAUCAAAAACAAGUGCAAAAUGGCAAUCAAUAAAGAAACCCAAUCUCAAUGAAAUGAUCAAAAUUAUUUCUGUAAAUAGAUUAAAAAAAAUAACCAAUUAUGGGAUUUGUUUUUGCCAAAACUUUGAAAAACUGCAAACAGCAAAAUGAUCAGCAACCAAAACAAGCAUUUACACACAUAUCAACAGUAUCUCUCACAUUCGAACUUCAUACCAAAUAUAACCACUAAGUAAUAUAAGGACAUUUAAUAUUGAAAUAACUGAAUAGACAGUAACCUAACCACACAAUAAAAACAAACAUCAACACAUUUGUCUUCUUUACCUCUCACAUUAAAACUUCACACCAAAUAUCAGCUCUUAGGAAUAUAAGGAUAUUUGAUGUUGACAUUUUAAAUUAGACAUAUAACCCACACCACAACAAACACAUACGUCUUUACACUUGUGUAUAUUUUUCUCUACAUUUUAAACUUCCAUACAUUUAUUUACCAUUACAAAAAGAAUAUAAGAAUAUGUGUUGUUGACAUUAAAAGACAAAACUCAACAUAAGAAUAAAAACAUACAUACAU
rnacentral:lncRNA from 1 species